CUGGUUUUCCAGGCAAAUCCGGAAAAUCAAGGCUGAGGCGUGAUGACGAGGCACCACGGUGCUGAAGCAACAAAUGCCCUGCUUCCAGGAAAAGCCUCUAAGCAUCAGGUAACAUCAAAUCGUACCCCAAACCGACACAGGUGGUCAGGUAGAGAAUACCAAGGCGCUUGAGAGAACUCGGGUGAAGGAACUAGGCAAAAUGGUGCCGUAACUUCGGGAGAAGGCACGCUGACACGUAGGUGAAGUGAUUUACUCACGGAGCUGAAGUCAGUCGAAGAUACCAGCUGGCUGCAACUGUUUAUUAAAAACACAGCACUGUGCAAACACGAAAGUGGACGUAUACGGUGUGACGCCUGCCCGGUGCCGGAAGGUUAAUUGAUGGGGUCAGCGCAAGCGAAGCUCCUGAUCGAAGCCCCGGUAAACGGCGGCCGUAACUAUAACGGUCCUAAGGUAGCGAAAUUCCUUGUCGGGUAAGUUCCGACCUGCACGAAUGGCGUAAUGAUGGCCAGGCUGUCUCCACCCGAGACUCAGUGAAAUUGAACUCGCUGUGAAGAUGCAGUGUACCCGCGGCAAGACGGAAAGACCCCGUGAACCUUUACUAUAGCUUGACACUGAACAUUGAGCCUUGAUGUGUAGGAUAGGUGGGAGGCUUUGAAGCGUGGACGCCAGUCUGCGUGGAGCCGACCUUGAAAUACCACCCUUUAAUGUUUGAUGUUCUAACGUGGACCCGUAAUCCGGGUUGCGGACAGUGUCUGGUGGGUAGUUUGACUGGGGCGGUCUCCUCCUAAAGAGUAACGGAGGAGCACGAAGGUUGGCUAAUCCUGGUCGGACAUCAGGAGGUUAGUGCAAUGGCAUAAGCCAGCUUGACUGCGAGCGUGACGGCGCGAGCAGGUGCGAAAGCAGGUCAUAGUGAUCCGGUGGUUCUGAAUGGAAGGGCCAUCGCUCAACGGAUAAAAGGUACUCCGGGGAUAACAGGCUGAUACCGCCCAAGAGUUCAUAUCGACGGCGGUGUUUGGCACCUCGAUGUCGGCUCAUCACAUCCUGGGGCUGAAGUAGGUCCCAAGGGUAUGGCUGUUCGCCAUUUAAAGUGGUACGCGAGCUGGGUUUAGAACGUCGUGAGACAGUUCGGUCCCUAUCUGCCGUGGGCGCUGGAAGAUUGAGGGGGGCUGCUCCUAGUACGAGAGGACCGGAGUGGACGCAUCACUGGUGUUCGGGUUGUCAUGCCAAUGGCACUGCCCGGUAGCUAAAUGCGGAAAAGAUAAGUGCUGAAAGCAUCUAAGCACGAAACUUGCCCCGAGAUGAGUCUUCCCUGAGACUUUGAGUCUCCUGAAGGAACGUUAAAGACGAUGACGUUGAUAGGCCGGGUGUGUAAGCGCAGCGAUGCGUUGAGCUAACCGGUACUAAUGAACCGUGAGGCUUAACCUUACAACGCCGAAG
rnacentral:rRNA from 1 species